rnacentral:rRNA from 1 species
AGAGUUUGAUCCUGGCUCAGAACGAACGCUGGCGGCGUGGAUAAGACAUGCAAGUCGAACGCUGGUUUGCAGGUAGCAAUAUUUACAAACUGGAGUGGCGCAAGGGUGUGUAACACGUGGGUAAUCUGCCGUGAAGUCUGGGAUAACUUGCUGAAAGGCGAGCUAAUACCGGAUGUGAACGCAAGUUCAAAGUUGGGGACCGUAAGGCCUGACGCUUCACGAUGAGCCCGCGGCCUAUCAGCUAGUUGGUGAGGUAACGGCUCACCAAGGCUAAGACGGGUAGCUGGUCUGAGAGGACGACCAGCCACACUGGAACUGAGACACGGUCCAGACACCUACGGGUGGCAGCAGUCGAGAAUUUUUCUCAAUGGGCGAAAGCCUGAAGGAGCGACGCCGCGUGGGGGAUGAAUGGCUUCGGCCCGUAAACCCCUGUCAUUUGCGAACAAAUUGUUUCACCUAACACGUGAAGCAUUGAUUGUAGCGGAAGAGGAAGGGACGGCUAACUCUGUGCCAGCAGCCGCGGUAAUACAGAGGUCCCAAGCGUUGUUCGGAUUCACUGGGCGUAAAGGGUGCGUAGGCGGCCAGGUAAGUUUGAUGUGAAAUCCCGCAGCUCAACUGCGGAACUGCAUUGAAUACUAUUUGGCUAGAGGAAUGGAGGGGAGACUGGAAUUCUCGGUGUAGCAGUGAAAUGCGUAGAUAUCGAGAGGAACACCAGUGGCGAAGGCGAGUCUCUGGACAUUUCCUGACGCUCAGGCACGAAAGCCAGGGGAGCAAACGGGAUUAGAUACCCCCGUAGUCC